rnacentral:rRNA from 1 species
GACGAACGCUGGCGGCGUGCUUAACACAUGCAAGUCGAACGGAAAGGCCCCAGCUUGCUGGAGUGCUCGAGUGGCGAACGGGUGAGUAACACGUGGGCAAUCUGCCCUGCACUCUGGGAUAAGCCUGGGAAACUGGGUCUAAUACCGGAUAGGACCUUUCUCCUCAUGGGGUUUGGUGGAAAGUUUUUCGGUGCAGGAUGAGCCCGCGGCCUAUCAGCUUGUUGGUGGGGUAAUGGCCUACCAAGGCGACGACGGGUAGCCGGCCUGAGAGGGUGAUCGGCCACAUUGGGACUGAGAUACGGCCCAGACUCCUACGGGAGGCAGCAGUGGGGAAUAUUGCACAAUGGGCGGAAGCCUGAUGCAGCGACGCCGCGUGAGGGAUGACGGCCUUCGGGUUGUAAACCUCUUUCAGUAGGGACGAAGCGCAAGUGACGGUACCUGCAGAAGAAGCACCGGCUAACUACGUG